rfam:Micromonospora sp. HK10 genomic scaffold Scaffold195, whole genome shotgun sequence.
GGAGGGUUCGCCUAGUGGCCGAUGGCGCUGGUCUUGAAAACCGGUAAGGCAGCGAUGUCUUCGUGGGUUCGAAUCCCACACCCUCCG